AUUGAACGCUGGCGGCAGGCCUAACACAUGCACGUCGCGCGGAGCGGCGGACGGGUGAGUAAUGCCUAGGAAUCUGCCUGGUCGUGGGGGAUAACGUCCGGAAACGGGCGCUAAUACCGCAUCCUAUCAGAUGAGCCUAGGUCGGAUUAGCUAGUUGGGGGGGUAAAGGCCUACCAAGGCGACGAUCCGUAACUGGUCUGAGAGGAUGAUCAGUCACACUGGAACUGAGACACGGUCCAGACUCGUACGGGAGGCAGCAGUGGGGAAUAUUGGACAAUGGGCGAAAGCCGGAUCCAGCCAUGCCGCGGGUGUGAAGAAGGUCUUCGGAUUGGAAAGCACGUUAAGUUGGGAGGCGUUACCAACAGAAUAAGCACCGGCUAACUUCGUGCCAGACGCCGCGGUAAUAC
rnacentral:rRNA from 1 species